rnacentral:rRNA from 1 species
UCGGGAAUUUUGGGCAAUGGGCGAAAGCCUGACCCAGCAACGCCGCGUGAGGGAUGAAGUAUUUCGGUAUGUAAACCUCGAAAGAAAGGGAAGAAUAAAUGACGGUACCAUUUAUAAGCUCCGGCUAACUACGUGCCAGCAGCCGCGGUAAUACGUAGGGAGCAAGCGUUGUUCGGAUUUACUGGGCGUAAAGGGCGCGUAGGCGGCGCGGUAAGUCACUUGUGAAAUCUCUGAGCUUAACUCAGAACGGCCAAGUGAUACUGCUGUGCUAGAGUGCGGAAGAGGCAACCGGAAUUCUUGGUGUAGCGGUGAAAUGCGUAGAUAUCAAGAGGAACACCUGAGGCGAAGGCGGGUUGCUGGGCCGACCCUGACGCUGAUGCGCGAAAGCCAGGGGAGCAAACG